rnacentral:rRNA from 1 species
AUAACUCCGGGAAACCGGGGCUAAUACCGGAUGGUUGUUUGAACCGCAUGGUUCAAACAUAAAAGGUGGCUUCGGCUACCACUUACAGAUGGACCCGCGGCGCAUUAGCUAGUUGGUGAGGUAAUGGCUCACCAAGGCAACGAUGCGUAGCCGACCUGAGAGGGUGAUCGGCCACACUGGGACUGAGACACGGCCCAGACUCCUACGGGAGGCAGCAGUAGGGAAUCUUCCGCAAUGGACGAAAGUCUGACGGAGCAACGCCGCGUGAGUGAUGAAGGUUUUCGGAUCGUAAAGCUCUGUUGUUAGGGAAGAACAAGUACCGUUCGAAUAGGGCGGUACCUUGACGGUACCUAACCAGAAAGCCACGGCUAACUACGUGCCAGCAGCCGCGGUAAUACGUAGGUGGCAAGCGUUGUCCGGAAUUAUUGGGCGUAAAGGGCUCGCAGGCGGUUUCUUAAGUCUGAUGUGAAAGCCCCCGGCUCAACCGGGGAGGGUCAUUGGAAACUGGGGAACUUGAGUGCAGAAGAGGAGAGUGGAAUUCCACGUGUAGCGGUGAAAUGCGUAGAGAUGUGGAGGAACACCAGUGGCGAAGGCGACUCUCUGGUCUGUAACUGACGCUGAGGAGCGAAAGCG